rnacentral:rRNA from 1 species
GACGUAGGGCGCGAGCGUUGUCCGGAUUUAUUGGGCGUAAAGAGCUCGUAGGCGGCUUGUCGCGUCGACUGUGAAAACCCGCAGCUCAACUGUGGGCUUGCAGCCGAUACGGGCAGGCUAGAGUUCGGUAGGGGAGACUGGAAUUCCUGGUGUAGCGGUGAAAUGCGCAGAUAUCAGGAAGAACACCCGUGGCGAAGGCGGUUCUCUGGGACGGUACUGACGCUGAGACGCGAAAGCGUGGGGAGCGAACAGG